AGCGGCGGACGGGUGAGUAAUGCUUAGGAAUCUGCCAUUUAGUGGGGGACAACAUUCCGAAAGGGAUGCUAAUACCGCAUACGUCCUACGGGAGAAAGCAGGGGACCUUCGGACCUUGCGCUAAAUGAUGAGCCUAAGUCGGAUUAGCUAGUUGGUGGGGUAAAGGCCUACCAAGGCGACGAUCUGUAGCGGGUCUGAGAGGAUGAUCCGCCACACUGGGACUGAGACACGGCCCAGACUCCUACGGGAGGCAGCAGUGGGGAAUAUUGGACAAUGGGCGGAAGCCUGAUCCAGCCAUGCCGCGUGUGUGAAGAAGGCCUUUUGGUUGUAAAGCACUUUAAGCGAGGAGGAGGCUACCUAGAUUAAUACUCUGGGAUAGUGGACGUUACUCGCAGAAUAAGCACCGGCUAACUCUGUGCCAGCAGCCGCGGUAAUACAGAGGGUGCGAGCGUUAAUCGGAUUUACUGGGCGUAAAGCGUGCGUAGGCGGCUGAUUAAGUCGGAUGUGAAAUCCCUGAGCUUAACUUAGGAAUUGCAUUCGAUACUGGUCAGCUAGAGUAUGGGAGAGGAUGGUAGAAUUCCAGGUGUAGCGGUGAAAUGCGUAGAGAUCUGGAGGAAUACCGAUGGCGAAGGCAGCCAUCUGGCCUAAUACUGACGCUGAGGUACGAAAGCAUGGGGAGCAAACAGGAUUAGAUACCCUGGUAGUCCAUGCCGUAAACGAUGUCUACUAGC
rnacentral:rRNA from 1 species